rnacentral:rRNA from 1 species
UGGGGAAUAUUGCACAAUGGGCGCAAGCCUGAUGCAGCCAUGCCGCGUGUGUGAAGAAGGCCUUCGGGUUGUAAAGCACUUUCAGCGAGGAGGAAGGUGGUGAACUUAAUACGUUCAUCAAUUGACGUUACUCGCAGAAGAAGCACCGGCUAACUCCGUGCCAGCAGCCGCGGUAAUACGGAGGGUGUAAGCGUUAAUCGGAAUUACUGGGCGUAAAGCGCACGCAGGCGGUUUGUUAAGUCAGAUGUGAAAUCCCCGGGCUCAACCUGGGAACUGCAUUUGAAACUGGCAAGCUAGAGUCUCGUAGAGGGGGGUAGAAUUCCAGGUGUAGCGGUGAAAUGCGUAGAGAUCUGGAGGAAUACCGGUGGCGAAGGCGGCCCCCUGGACGAAGACUGACGCUCAGGUGCGAAAGGCGUGGGGCAGCAAACAGGAUUAGAUACCCUGGUAGUCCACGCUGUAAACGAUGUCGAUUUUGGAGGUUGUGCCCUUGAGGCGUGGCUUCCGGAGCUAACGCGUUAAAUCGACCGCCUGGGGAGUACGG